UUGCUUACAGAUUUAAGACAUCAACAACAAUUUUAUAUUUAAAAGCCAUUAAUAUUGAACCUAUAAUCUGGAUGGUUUAUUUUAAAUUAACUAUAUGCCAAGUGUGAAAUAUCUUAAUGCGUGCAUAUCAACCUUUAAAAUUUGUUAGAUGAUCAAAGUUUUUCUCAAAGAUUAAGGGCUUUCUUUGACAGAUGUGAAUUGCCUACAGCCGAUGCAGUAAGUGAAUCAUGUGACCUAAGCUUCAUGUAGCCACCAUGAUGUAUGUUAUAUAUCCACUCUAUAUAUCCAUUUCGCCAGCUCAUUUUAAGUCAUGGGCCCAAACGUGAAGCAAAAUCGACCACACGAUAGAAAACAAUGGGGACAAAGACUCCCAUGGUUAUCUAAAGAAAAAUAGUUGAAGCAUGAUUUGAUUUUGUCAUGUCCUAUUUAAUAAUUAAUAUGUUUGCAAUUUAAUUCAAUUAAGCAUCCAAACUCAUAUAGUGGGAGGUUUUUUUUUAAUUAUUAUUAUUUUUUUAUUUUUAUUAAAUUUGAUUUUAAGAGGGAGCAUGUUUGAUUUUUGGGUUUCACAUGAUUAUGUUGUUGGAGUUUGUGUUUCUUCUACCUAUGCUGUCCAAACAUGAGGUAGAAUCGACCAACCACAGGAAACAAUGGGGACAAAGACACCUAUGGUUAUCUGAAGCAAAAUAGAUGAAGCUUGAUUUGUUUUUAUCAUGUCCUCUUUACUAAUUUGUAUAUUUCCAAUUCAAUUUAAUUGAGCAUCCAAACUUAUCAAGAAAGAGAGUUUAUUUUUGGGUUUCACACGGUUAUAUUGUUGGAGUUUGUGCUUCCUCUACUUAUGCAAUUUAGUGUUUACUUUUAUCUAUGUUCAGAUGUUCAAGAUUUUAAACUCGGACGAUCAUGUCAAUUUUCCGAAGAAGAAUAACAUGAAUUCUACUGAUUAUAAUACAUUGUUUACUAGUGUCAUAUGUCUUUUACCAAUCCAUUGUCUUCCAGCCUUAUUAAGAUACCUGACUUUCACACAAGCCACUCGUAUUAAAAUCCCUAAUAAUGUAAUUAAUUUUUUUUGUUCUAACACAUGGGUUAGUGGUAGACAGACUGUGGUGUAUGUUUGUGUGGGUGUGUAAAAAGAAAUUUAUGCGCUAACCAUUGCAAGUAGUAUGCAUGGAAUCUCAAAUAGUAAAAAUGGAAGAUCUUGUAAACCCAAUUCUUUUGUAUUUACUAAUAUUUUCUUCUUCUUUUUUCUUACAAAAUUAAAGGAAUAAUUUAUGCAUAUCAACUUUUACUUAGUUUGUAUUAAUUUGAUACAUUAAUUACAUUCUCAUUUAUUCUUUAGUAAGAAUGGAGGUUGUGAAGUUUGUUACUUUCA